AGGCAGACCGGAUUAUGAUGAUUCUCAUUUGUUUCAUCACCAUGUCCAGCUUUUGGAUGCUGUUUGUUCCAGCUGCUGAGGUCCAGCAGGUCCUCUUUGGUUCAAACGUCACUCUGGGGUGCAACAUCUCCUACCUGUACGACAUGACAACGUGGCUGAAGCAAAACCCAGACCUCAUUCCUACCGUGGUCCUCCACGCCAGCCUCCGGGAGGGACGGCCGGUUGAAUUGUUUCAGCUCAGUCUUCGUCAUUCAGCGAGUCUCAUGAAUCGGUCUCUAGCCCUGAAGAUCACGGCUGUUGAAGUGGGGGAUCUGGGCCUGUAUUACUGCAUUGCCAACAUGAAUGGACGUCUGAUAAUUGGGAAAGGAACACGGAUUCAUAAUUCCUCCCAGUUUCUGUUCCAGCACUGGUACUCUGCAGCUGUGUGUUCUGGGCUGCUGAUUAUGAUUGUGACGGUUUGUGUUACUCAUUGGAAAACCAGACAGAGGAAGUGA